rnacentral:rRNA from 1 species
GACGAACGCUGGCGGCGUGCCUAAUACAUGCAAGUAGAACGCACAGUUUAUACCGUAGCUUGCUACACCAUAGACUGUGAGUUGCGAACGGGUGAGUAACGCGUAGGUAACCUGCCUGGUAGCGGGGGAUAACUAUUGGAAACGAUAGCUAAUACCGCAUAAUAUUAAUUAUUGCAUGAUAAUUAAUUGAAAGGUGCAAUUGCACCACUACCAGAUGGACCUGCGUUGUAUUAGCUAGUAGGUGAGGUAACGGCUCACCUAGGCGACGAUACAUAGCCGACCUGAGAGGGUGAUCGGCCACACUGGGACUGAGACACGGCCCAGACUCCUACGGGAGGCAGCAGUAGGGAAUCUGCGGCAAUGGACGAAAGUCUGACCGAGCAACGCCGCGUGAGUGAAGAAGGUUUUCGGAUCGUAAAGCUCUGUUGUAAGAGAAGAACGGGUGUGAGAGUGGAAAGUUCACACUGUGACGGUAUCUUACCAGAAAGGGACGGCUAACUACGUG